rnacentral:hammerhead_ribozyme from 1 species
GUACUGAUGAAGAGUCCCAGACUAGGACAAAACAACUGUCUAGUAC